rnacentral:tRNA from 1 species
GGAAUAUCUUUUGAAAGCUUCUAACUUUCUUUUAAGUGGUUAAACCCAUUUAUAUUCCU